rnacentral:misc_RNA from 1 species
GGUUGGAUCAUUAGAAAAAUGGUGGGCCAUGGGGCCUGAACAGAAAAAGUGUUUGCUGGAGAUGAGAUGAGCGGGGAAGGCAACCGUUGCUGUGGGGAACCAAAGUGGUCCGGGCAAAACUGCUGGCAAGUGGGCCGCAGAUCCUGUAAAAAUGGAGAUUGUGAAUGCAAAACCCUAGUGUUUGGCAUCAUGAUUGCGGCCACCUUCAGGCAAGUUUGCUUGGAAAACAAUUUGGCUUGGCACAGCAACUGUGCAGAACUCUUUUUUUCUCUCCAGCAUUUCCCUUUUUCUUUUUGGGUCUGUGAUUGGUCGGUCACCUUGCCACUUUGUGCAAUGUAUACGUUUUUGGCGGGCGAGUCUCAGACUCAGCAUCAGGGCAAUCCCAGGUGCGUUUGUACAAGUGCAGACAAUGCAUCUGUGCAGACACCCGUCGGUUGUGCGCAGCACUGGUGCUGCGCACAGCAGCAUGAACUCUUUGUGUUUUCCUUUUUUUGGUCUCAAACCUUUUGCAAAUGUAUUUGCAUGAAUGUAACAAACAACUUUUGGCAACGGAUCUCUUGGCUCUCGCAACGAUGAAGAACGCAGCGAAAUGCGAUAAGUAGUGUGAAUUGCAGAAUUCAGCGAAUCAUCGAAUCUUUGAACGCACAUUGCGCUCUCUGGUAUUCCGGAGAGCAUGCCUGUUUCAGAAUCGGCAACAUUUCCUCUUGUUCACAUGGGCAAUCUGCAAGGAUUGUCUUUGGGAGCAAGGACUUUGGAUGUUUUUCUGUAAAUAAAAUCAUCUUGAAUGAAUUUGUGGGUGUGCGGAUGUCCCGAGGUUCCUUAACUGGAACUGGCCCAAAAGUGCAACAAAAAGCCAUGCUCUUUAACAACCACUUUGGGCUUCAGGCAUCCAAACACGUGCAUGUUUUUUCACGGGGAGGGACCCAAAUCCAUCUGUUUUUUUGGGCUUUCCUCGGAAUCUCGAUCUGAAAUCAGGCAGGAAAACCCGCUGAACUUAAGCAUAUCAAUAAGCGGAGGAAAAGAAACUAACAAGGAUUCCCCUAGUAACGGCGAGUGAAGCGGGAUCAGCUCAAAUUUGAAAUCUCAGAGGGUUCCCUCUGCGAAUUGUAGUUUAGAGAAGCGUUUUCGGGGGCAGCUUGGGUACAAGUCCUUUGGAACGAGGCAUCAUAGAGGGUGAGAAUCCCGUUUAUGAUCCAACGUUUGCUCCUAUGUGAUACGCUUUCCAAGAGUCAGGUAGUUUGGGAUUGCUGCCUAAAAUGGGUGGUAAAUACCAUCUAAAGCUAAAUAUUGGCGAGAGACCGAUAGCGAACAAGUACCGUGAGGGAAAGAUGAAAAGAACUUUGAAAAGAGAGUUAAACAGUACGUGAAAUUGCCAAAAGGGAAACGCUUGAAACCAGCAUUGCUUGCAGACAAUCAUCUGUGCCUUCUGGCACGGUGCACUUGUCUGCAGGCAGGUCAACGUCAGUUUGGGCUGGAGUAAAAAGCUGGAGGAAGGUAGCUUUGGCUUGCCAAAGUGUUAUAGCCUUCGGCCAUGCUCCGGACUGGACUGAGGUCACCGAGGGUGUGGACGUUUGUUCGUUCUUGAGGUUCCCGGCUGCCUCCCGAAGCUUCUUUGCCAGACAGCAUGCUGACUGCGAGAAGUCACAGGGAGCCCGGUCGGCAGGACCUUUUCUCAUGCCCAGGUCGUUGACGUAAUGGUUUUAAACGACCCGUCUUGAAACACGGACCAAGGAGUCUAACAUAUAUGCAAGUAUUUGGGUGGCAAACCCUCAUGCGAAAUGAAAGUGAACUUUGGUGGGAUCUUCGGUGCACCAUCGGCCGGUCUGGAUUUUUAUUUUGAAAGAUCUGAGCAAGAGCAUAUCUGUUGGGACCCGAAAGAUGGUGAACUAUGCCUGAAUAGGGUGAAGCCAGAGGAAACUCUGGUGGAGGCUCGUAGCGAUUCUGACGUGCAAAUCGAUCGUCAAAUUUGGGUAUAGGGGCGAAAGACUAAUCGAACCAUCUAGUAGCUGGUUCCCUC